CCUACGGGAGGCAGCAGUGGGGAAUAUUGCACAAUGGGGGAAACCCUGAUGCAGCGACGCCGCGUGAGUGAAGAAGUACUUCGGUAUGUAAAGCUCUAUCAGCAGGGAAGAAAAAAGACGGUACCUGACUACGAAGCCUUGACUAACUACGGGCCAGCAGCCGCGGUAAAACGGAGGCGGCAAGCGUUAUCCGGACUUAAUGGGCGUAAAGGGAGCGUAGUCGGUAUGUCAAGACAGAGGUGAAAGCCCAGGGCGUAACGCGGGGAAUGCUUUUGAAACUGUUAGACUAGAGUGCUGGAGAGGAAAGUGGAAUUCCAGGUGUAGGGGUGAAAUGCGUAGAUAUUAGGAGGAACACCAGUGGCGAAGGCGGCUUACUGGACAGUAACUGACGUUGAGGAGCGAAAGCGUGGGGAGCAAACAGGAUUAGAUACCCGUGUAGUC
rnacentral:rRNA from 1 species